UCGACGGCGCGCGUAGUCCGCGGCUGUUUGUCGCGUGGCUCUUUCCGCUCCUUUCAAAACACGAGAAGUAAAAGAACAAAGGAGAAAAAGAAACCGGAGGAGGAAAGAAGCAAUAGCGAAGGCAGAGAGAGCAGUUAAUUUAUCACUAAUCGAUCAAGAACCGGAUCGGAAAAAGAUCUUGUUCGGAUGGCGGCCAACUUCGCUCUCCGAUCCGACCGUUGCCCCCUCCUCCACCGACCCCCGCCCCUCCUCUAUUUAAACCCCCAGCGCGCCCUCUCCCGUCGCCCCCGCUUCCUUCUCCCCUCCGGUCGGCGACGUCCGGGUUUCAGGGUUUCCUCCUCCGGCGGCCGGAGGAAAGGGGAGGAGGAGAAGAGGGGUGGGGUUCUCAUCGACGUCCAGCGGGAUGAGGCCUCGCAAGUUGGAACUGAUGUCGAGGAGGAAGGAGGAGGACGGGGUGUGGUAUUGGAUGGGAGCUAUGAAGGGUUUGAGUGGAAGUGGCCGCCUUGGAGGGAUUUGCCGCUGCGGUAUAAGCUCAUCGGGACGACAUCUCUUGCCUUUGUCAUCUGCAACAUGGACAAGGUUAACCUGAGCAUUGCCAUCAUUCCGAUGUCACAUCAGUUUGGGUGGAAUUCAUCAACAGCUGGCUUGGUUCAAUCUUCAUUCUUUUGGGGCUAUGCGUUGAGUCAAUUGCCUGGGGGAUCGCUUGCUAAGUUAUUUGGUGGAAGGAAAGUUCUUAAAGUUGGUGUUCUUGCUUGGUCCUUAGCCACAAUUCUUGUUCCAUUUGUAGCAGGAUUUAUGCCAGGGCUGGUUUUGUCAAGAAUUUUGGUUGGGGUAGGAGAAGGUGUUUCUCCAUCAGCUGCAACUGACUUAAUUGCAAGAUCUAUUCCCUUGCAAGAACGCUCAAGAGCAGUUGCAGUUGUUUUUGGUGGUUUGAGUGUAGGAAGCAUCUUGGGGCUUCUGCUGGCUCCUUCCAUUAUCCAAAAUUUUGGUUGGGAAUCUGUAUUUUACAUAUUUGGCUUUCUUGGGAUUAUUUGGUGUUUGGGAUUUGAGUUUGUUAAAGAAGGGCAAUCACCAUUUGAUGCAGAAUACCUUUUUGGCUUGAGAAAGGGACCAUCAGGCAUCAGAAACUCUUUGUUUACAUCUGUAUAUACAAGAAAUUCAUGGAGUUCAUCUUUCAAAGAAUUGGGCGACUCUCUCAAGGAUGUACCAUGGAAGGCAUUUUUCAAGAGUCCUGCAGUUUGGGCAAUGAUAUAUGCUCACUUCUGUGGAAGUUGGGGCCACUACACUUGUUUAUCUUGGCUACCUACAUAUUUUAGUGAGGAGCUGGACUUAAACUUGAUGGAAGCUGCAUGGGUUUCAAUCCUCCCUUCUUUGGGUUCGAUUCUUAUUACCUCCAUUGCAGCCCCUUUUGCAGACAACCUAAUCUCCAGUGGAGUUGAGACCACAGUGGUGAGAAAAAUUUGCCAAACAAUUGCCUUUAUGUCUCCCGCAGUUUGCAUGACUCUUUCCUCUGUGGAUCUAGGCCUGCCACCUUGGGAAAUUGUAGCAUUUCUUACUGGUGGUUUGGCACUGUCAAGUUUUGCCUUGUCAGGACUGUAUUGUACCCAUCAAGACAUUUCUCUUGAAUAUGCGAGUAUACUAUUGGGUAUCACAAACACAGUAGGGGCAGUACCUGGGAUAGUUGGUGUUGCCCUCACAGGCUAUCUUCUUGAUUUGACCCAUUCAUGGAGUAUAUCAUUGUUUGCCCCAUCAAUCUUCUUCUAUUUAACUGGUACGGUUGUAUGGCUAGUAUUUGCCAGCAGUAAACCUCAGGACUUUUCUAAGUGAGAUUCGUCACAACAACACUCUUCCGAAGCAUUCUUGGUGAACUUGUGACCAACCAUAUCCAAUAGAAGAAAGGAUGCACCAUUGGAUCUGAAAAGGUGAUUGAAUUUAAUGACAUCCAUCAGUCUUCAUUUUCUAAUCAUGGAGGUGUGAAGGAGAGCAUGUGACUGAAAAAAGAAAAAGAAGGAUUCUUGGUUUUUGUCACGAUGUUGAUGCAGCGAAAUGACUAGCGAACUAAUUAGCAACUGAAGCAUUGCAGCUGCUCAGGCACAGAAUGACUAUUCCCUUAUCUAGGAACACUUGAUCACCAAUUAGAAAUUUGUGGAUUUAUGUAUUGAAAGAGCUUCAAGGUUGUACAGAAGAAAUUUUCAUUCUAGUGAUAAAAUAUUAUCUACUAUGGUGCUUGUUACUAUUUUUUAAAAUCCUUGCUCUUGUUAUAGUACUCUCCAUACUAUAUCUGCUUCUGCUUCCACAACUGUGAUUAUUAUAGAACAUAUGUAACAAAAUUGACUUGCACACUCAUUCUUUUAUCAAAGAAUAUGCGUCUUAGCAAUG